GGAGGGAUUAAUUCGAUGGUAGUGCUUGGAUACAGUGGAUUUCACGGGCAACAGGGUCUUAGGGUUCGAUUCUGGAGAAGGAGCCUGAGAGCGGCUACUACGUCCUCUGCCCCCCCGUGGCGCGUAAAUUACCCAAUCCUGACUCAGGGAGGUGGUGACAAGAUAUAACAACGCCCUUUCAUUGUGAUUGUAGUGAGGGUAUUCCAUACCGAACCACUAGCACGAUUAGAGGGCAAGUCUGGUGCCAGCAGCCGCGGUAAUUCCAGCUCUAAUAGCGUAUAUUAUAGUUGCUGCAGCUAUAAGCUCGUAUUUUUGCUUUCUAGGAUCGCGUACUCUCUCACAGUAUGCACGCUACUACUCUUCGGACUGUUACGUGCGAGAAAAUUAGAGUGUACUCAAGCAGGCUUUCGCAGAUCACAUUAUCAUGGAUUACCAAUGCACGCGAGGGCGGGCGACGCUAAGCCACGAUCAUAGAGACAGUAGGGGGCAUGAGCUCUCAUCCGUCCUAUGUGUACUUCUUGGAGUCGUGAAGAGUAUCGCAUGCUGAGCCAUUCGCCACCGACGUCUCAUCUACUCAGGACGAACGAUCAGGGAUCAAUUACAAUCUGAUUCUGUGCGUACGUCCUAUCCUACAACAACUGCAGACUAUGGAUUGUAGUGAGGCUCAUGACAUGUCAGUGACCUACUCAAAUCCCAGUCUUCGGUUCUGGGGAAGUAUGCCGCAGAACUGGACUGCUUGAUCCCGAAUGCACCCC
rnacentral:rRNA from 1 species